rnacentral:rRNA from 1 species
GACGAACCGUGCGAACGUUGUUCGGAUUCACUGAGCUUAAAGGGCGCGUAGGCGGGCGGUCAAGUCAGGGGUGAAAUCUUUCGGCUCAACCGGAAAAGUGCCUUUGAUACUGGCCGUCUCGAGGGAGGUAGGGGCAUGCGGAACUUCCGGUGGAGCGGUGAAAUGCGUAGAUAUCGGAAGGAACGCCGGUGGCGAAAGCGGCGUGCUGGACCUCUUCUGACGCUGAGGCGCGAAAGCCAGGGGAGCAAACGGG